UCAUAAGCACCAAGAAUCUUGAAUGCAGCUCAUCUAUUGUGUGUCCCAAUUAGGAAUGUUGGCACUUGGCAGUAGCUUCAUUCACCACCUCGGUCACAGAUCACACACGUGUGAGCUCACACGUAUGGAAAGUGGAAACCCUAGUAGCUGGCUAUAAACGCUAGCCUUCAACUGCAUUUCUUCUUCAUUUCCAAAAGCCAAAGCCGCUCCACCACUUCUCUCCCUAAACAGCUCACAUUCCAGAGCCCCCUCUCUCUUAAGCCUCUCCAUCUCCACCUCCUAUUUCGUUCAAAUCUCUCUCUCACUCCUCCUCAAUGGUAGCCUCUUCUAGCCAUUGCACAAAAUUUACUCAAACCACUUUAAUGAACUGUCGACAACUCAAGCAUACAACGACGCUUUGGGAGAAUGUAUUGCGUCGCCAUGGGAAACUCAAAUUCGUUAACAAUGGGGAUUUGAAUGAUAAGUCAAGAACACGGAAAAAUCGGUUGCGGGUUGAAUUGAAAGGUAUGUAAACAUUUAGAGAAAAACUACUUGCUAAUGUGGUUGAGAAGGAAAAUCCUCAGAAGUGCUACGUUUACGAUUUUUUUGAAAAUAAUGAAACAAACCUUGUGAUAGUCUAUACGAUUUGAUAAGCUUUCCAAUUCUCCAUUUCUAAUUGAAUAAUUCUUACGAGACACAACUUUUCAAGAAAUAUAUAAUCAUUUGAUAGAUGCAUUCAUAGUUGACACAGAAGAUUUCAAGGGAGUGGCUUGAAAAGUUGAAAUAAUUUCCAUUCUAGUUUUUUUUUAUGCGAGAAUCACAAGUUUGAUACAUGGUAGGAGGAGGAGAAAAAAAGAUUGAGAACUAUUGUUUUGGAAAUAUGGGCACCUGCUUGAUUAGCCAUUAUAGUAUAAGUAAUGAUGCAGAUGAAUUAAAUGAUUGAGUUACAAAGAUAGCCGGUUAUUUCAUAAGCAUCGUCCAUAAAAGGAUAAAAAUAGGGGAGGUUGACCUACCAUGUAGGUGCAACUCAACAAGUGAAUUCUAUAGUGUACAAAAAGAGGGAAAGGACAGAGAAGGUGUUUAACCGGAAUAUAAGCCUCGUAAGCGAGGAAGACAAAGUUAUGACAGGCUACUGUUUGCUUACAUGCCCACACAUAAAUCGGCACCUAGUGUGCCUUGAGCAUUUCUAGAAGAUACAUGAGUUUUCCUUUUCCUGGUAUAAACAUGGAGAUAGAGUUGCAUCAUAAGCACUAGGAAUCUUGAAUGCUGCUCAUCUAUUAUGGGUCGGAGUUGGAUUAGAAAUGUUUAGCUUCAUUCACCACCUCCACACGAAAUGAUUUACGGUUGAAAUGAUUUACAAGUGUACCUUCAUUCACCACCCACCUCCACACGAAUAUGACAAACUAGAUGAAAACUCUCAAUUCUGGAAAAAAAAAAACAAAUUUUAAAUGUUAAACACAUUUUGCCAGAGGUUGGGCAUUGUUGUUGGAGGUCGCCGUGGCCGACACUAUUAGAUAUACAAUAGUGGGUCAGGUCAGGGUCAGGUUGAACUUCAUCAACACACAAAAAUCCAAUUACUAGAGGCACACAAUAGCAUCGAAAACAGAAAAAUAGCAUGGAAAACACAAUAUGCAUUGUAACGAUUACAAUAGUGGGUCAUGUUGACUUCUCUUAUUGACUCAUCACUUCUAAAAUUAUUUAUUUGCAGUGGGAUUAUGGAACUGUCAACAAAUGAAGGCAUAUAACGACGCCUUGGAACAUAAGGAGACGUAUGGCAUUGCCAACGUAAAGCUAAAAUUCAUAAACACAGAAGACAUAAAUGAUAAGACGAAAACACAAAGCAUCUAUACCAUAAUCACAAAAUCUAUUCUACUCAUUAAGUCAAACAUAAUAACAAAUCUAUUCUACUCAUUAAGUCAAACAUAAUCUAUUCUACUCAUUAAGCCAUUUUGCAACUGAGUCAUCCAAGCUUGUCAAACGAUCUUUAAUGGAAAACUUCAAGGCAAGCCAAUGCCCAUUUUAAACUCUCUAACAUAGAAGAGAUUGACAAGUGGAAGACAGACUCUCCCUGGAUAAUUUUUUUACAUUCAACUUUUACUUUGGGGCUUGAGAUAUUUUUGUUUUGUAUUUGAAUUGUAUUGUAAAUUUGCAAUUUUAAAUUUCUACAACUGAUUUAUUUGUGAUUUUGUGUUUGUUUUGGAAUAUUCCCAAUUGAACUGUUAGAACGUUGAUCCUAUUUUUGUUUUUAUUGGGAUGGAAUGUGAUGAAAUUAGCUUUGAUUUGAAUGAAGGUGUCACCGGACAAUCGAUGCUGACAUGCACCUACACAAAUGUGCCGAAAGGGUAUGUUUUAAACGGAAGGCUGAGGUACAGUGGAGGACCAACUCAACCAGUUAAAUUUUUGCGGUACAAAGACGAGGAGAUGGCAAAGAAAGUAUUUUCACAAAACGUAAGCCUCUGAGACCAAGAAGAAAGGUUAAUGACAACAUAUUUUUGGUAACCUGCCCACGAACCAAUCAGCACCUCGUUUGCUUUGAGGAUUUUGAAGACAUCGGCUGUCGAGACUGAUGCCCACCAUAACAUAUACGAAACAAGUCCUUGCAUUUUCGCACCACCAGCCAUUUAUGUUGUGCUGGGCAUCAGUCUCGACAGUCGGUAUGUCUUCAAAAUGCUCAAAGCAAACGAGGUGCUGACUAGUUCGUGGGCUGGUUAACCAAAAAUAUGCUAUCAUUAACCUUUCUUCUUGGCAUCGGAGGCUUAUGUUUUGUGAAAACACUUUUUUUGCCAUCUCCUCGUUUUUGUACCGCAAAAAUUUAACUGGUUGAGUUGGUCCUCCACUGUACCUCAACCUUCCGUUUAAAACAUACCCUUUCGACACAUUUGUGUAGGUGCAUGUCAGCACCGAUUGUCCGGUUACACUUUCGUUCAAAUCAAAGCUAAUUUCAUCAUAUUCCAUCCUAAUAAAAAUAAGAUCAACGUUCUAACAGUGCAAUUGGGAAUGUUCCAAAACAAAACACAAAAUCAUAAAUAAAUCAGUUGGAGAAAUUCAAAAUUGCAAAUUUACAAUCCAAAAACAAAAAUAUCUCAAGUCCCUAAGUAGAAAGUAAAAAAUUCUUACAUUUAAGUUUUGAUUCUUCAAGAUGGUCCUGAAUGAAGUGGAAUGAGAGAGAGUUGGGACUAUUCGGAUUCGGUAAUGAAGCUCCUCUACUGUUUUGGGGCAAUGUUAGUAAUCGGGGUUCGGACAGCAGUAGGGUUUCUUUUGGGGCAAAGUUAGUAAUGGGGUGCUAUCCACAAACCUAAUUUUUUUUACCUCUCACAACUAUGUUAAUUUUCGGUCCUUUGAUCAAAUAAAUUGAAAAUAAUCAAUGGACAAAAAACUAACAACGAGGUAAAUAAGAAGGAUUGUGUGAUUAGCACAACCCUUUGCAAAUAGCUGCCAUCUGCCCUUGGGUUUAUCCAAGGGUCAGAUUUGUUACCUUACGGUUUGAGUUCAGUACCACACGGAUACAAAGCCCAUUGCGGGGCAACGCGAGGUUAGCAGCCGCGUUCAAUCUUCAUCUCCUCUCUCUCCAGACCUCCUCUUUCUCUCGUCGCAAGCGGCGUUCUGGGUGGAUAAUCGCGAGCAACACCGUGUGCGGGUCCUGAGAAGCGUCGAGCGCGGCGAUUUUUGGUACAGAUCGAAUCCGUUUGCGGAUCCAAUUCUUCCAUUGGUGUAGGGUGCUUUCCGCCAUCUUCGCGUUCAUGGAUACCAAAUCUGUGUUUGUAUUAGUGGAAUGUUUUAAGAGGAAAAGUCGAGAAGCUGAGUUAUAUCAAGUAUCACAAGCCAACAACAAGGAAUUGACUGUUAGUCCUGUACGUUCUUUUGGUAAUCACCGCAAGGGUGAUGCAUACAGUUGGACUCUCCCCUCCCAGCAGCACCGCUUGACAAGUCAUUGGUUCAAGGGGAAGUUAUAUAUGUUGAUGCCUGUAUGGGAACUUGGUAGGGGCACUUCCACCAAGUGUAAGGGACGUACUUUUGACCCGCAUCACAAGUUAAUGGGUAAAUUCAAGGCCCCUGAUUCGCUUACAGCAUGGGGAGCUCUCAUUUCUGCAUAUGGCAACCUUUAUUAUCACGCGGACACGACAAUCCAUUUAAAUAAGUUCCCGAGCCCCUUUCAGUGUUACAAUCCUGGUUCGGACACUUGGGAAGACCUGCCAAGGAUUCACCCCGAUCUUACUCGGUGGCUGUUUGACUCCAUAACUGGUUAUGCAGUCUGUGGUGGUCAUAUUUUGGUUUCGUUCGGCAACACCUUUUUUGCUUAUCAUGUGCGUGAUAAAAAAUGGCAUCGUGUACGUUAACCAGAUGGAUAUCCUGGUUUCCACGGGAGGGCUGUAGUUGCAGGUGACUACAUCUAUGCUGUAGAAUCGAUGUCUGGUCCGGUUUCUGAAUUUUAUUUUGACUGCACUAACUAUACUCUGAGCAAACCUGUGUGGUUGCGCGGUUUGAAAGUUUCAGACUAUGAUUCACCGUCUUAUGGGAAUCUGGUUAGUCUGGGCAACAAUGUAUACUGCUUUGUCCAGUGUGGCGUUAAGGCUGAUGAUUGUCUAUCUCUAGCUGGUGAUUGUCAAUCUCUGGUUAUCACUACGUUCAAUAUUGUCGGUAAACCAGGUAAACCAGGAUCUAGAAGUAUCGAUACCUUGAAGGUACAUGUUUAUGAUGUGGAAUAUACCCGGGGCGCAGGUUUCAUAUACUAUUUGAGUUUCACCUUUACUCCUGAUUAUCCGUGUAGCGAAUCAGAAGGAAAAGAUCCAAUGGUCAAGAGGGACGCCGAUUGCAGACGCCCAACUGAUGGACAGAGAGAGAGAGAGAGGGAUGCGAAGGGACUCGAAGGCAGAGGGAAAGGGCAUUCAAGUGGAGGCAGAGGGAAAGGGCAUUCAAGGAGGAGCAGACGGAAAGGGCUCUCCUAAAUGUAAACCCAGUAGAAAACUGCUGCUUUAUAUAACGUGUAGGCCGAAUUUCCAAUAUUUUGAUAAAAGAUGGUGCUCUAAAACAAUGUGGUAUCAAGAAUGUCUCAUCCUCUAUCCAUGGAGAAAUGAAAGCCAACAAAUUUGGUAGCAAAACGUGCUAAAUCAUGGGCGCGGCAGAUCAUCGCUCUUGAAAUUCACCUAGUUGUUCGUCCUGAUUGCGAAACUCUCUGUUGAGGAACUUAGACUCAUACUCCGGCCUUGAUUAGACGUUUGUUCUCUUCCUCCAAAAUAGCCAGUUUCGCCCUGAUUGCAAAACUCCGUCUUGAUGGCCACCGAACCACGUCUAUGAUACCACUUGUUGGAAAAUUAAUCUCACUCGUCAUGGAAAGCAAAUCCAAUCGAAAAAAAUAAAAUGCAACUGAGAUGACAAGAAGUAAAAUUAUCGCAAGAAAGAACACCAAGAAUUUACACGGGACGUAAGUUUAACCGUGUUUCUUUUUUUUUAUGCAUUUUACUUCUUGUCAUUUCGGUUGCAUUCUAUCUCUUCCGUCGAUUUGCUUGCCAUGACGAGGGGAAUUAACUUUCCCAACACCUUCCUCCAGGUUUUGUCCCGCCGAAUUUUACCCGGAAGUUGUAACGAGGCACUGCAUGCACGGAGUACAUACAAGCGGAAAGUGUUGUAAAUUCAUGGGUUUUGGAUGUCCACCGUAAUAAUAUGAUUAAGUUUGUAAGCUAUAAAAUUCUGAGGGAAAAAUGAGUGUUGGAUGCUAAAAACCUCUUCGAGGCCUAUAAAAGGGGCCUUUGCGAAGACGAGCUUGAUGAGAGCGAUUUUC